CAAUCAAGUCUUCAACAAAUAGGCAUGUUAAAGAAUCCAAAUAUUGUUUACUAAAAAAAGAAUGAAGUUUGGUUUUCAAAAUUUUAAGUUAAGAGAAUACUCUUUCACACUUAAUUUGGGUGCAUGCAAGUAUGAGAACAUAUUUAAAUACUAUGUACACUGUGUUAUGUUGAAUAAUCCAUAUUUUGUUGUUAGUUCAAAAAGGAUUUUAAACACAUUCGCAAAACAGUUAUACACAGUCUAGUACACAGUCAGUUAGUUACAGUCUUGUUGUUUUAAACGAUCAUCGUUUUCUUUCUCAGAAUCUUUUAGUAUUAAAUCUUCUGUUAUAUCAUUAGUCUCGCUGUACACAGAUCUCCACGAGGUAGAAAAGCUUUGAUAUUGUUCAGUAAAUUGUUUAAGUUCAAUAAAUAAUGUUUUUCUGUCUAUGCAAGCUAAUUCAGAUAAUUUAUGUGUCAUGCAUUUAACGGACAAUCGUCUAUUGAAAGUAAAGUUAUUUC